rnacentral:rRNA from 1 species
ACUAAUGGGAUACUUAGUACGGCGAGUGAAGCGGUAAAAGCUCAAAUUUGAAAUCUGGUACUUUCAGUGCCCGAGUUGUAAUUUGUAGAAUUUGUCUUUGAUUAGGUCCUUGUCUAUGUUCCUUGGAACAGGACGUCAUAGAGGGUGAGAAUCCCGUUUGGCGAGGAUACCUUUUCUCUGUAAGACUUUUUCGAAGAGUCGAGUUGUUUGGGAAUGCAGCUCAAAGUGGGUGGUAAAUUCCAUCUAAAGCUAAAUAUUGGCGAGAGACCGAUAGCGAACAAGUACAGUGAUGGAAAGAUGAAAAGAACUUUGAAAAGAGAGUGAAAAAGUACGUGAAAUUGUUGAAAGGGAAGGGCAUUUGAUCAGACAUGGUGUUUUUUGCAUGCACUCGCCUCUCGUGGGCUUGGGCCUCUCAAAAAUUUCACUGGGCCAACAUCAAUUCUGGCAGCAGGAUAAAUCAUUAAGAAUGUAGCUACUUCGGUAGUGUUAUAGCUUUUUGGAAUACUGUUAGCCGGGAUUGAGGACUGCGCUUCGGCAAGGAUGUUGGCAUAAUGGUUAAAUGCCGCCCGUCUUGAACCCACGGACCA